UACGUAGGGUGCGAGCGUUGUCCGGAAUUACUGGGCGUAAAGAGCUCGUAGGUGGUUUGUCGCGUUGUUCGUGAAAUCUCACGGCUUAACUGUGAGCGUGCGGGCGAUACGGGCAGACUAGAGUACUGCAGGGGAGACUGGAAUUCCUGGUGUAGCGGUGGAAUGCGCAGAUAUCAGGAGGAACACCGAUGGCGAAGGCAGAUCUCUGGGCCGUAACUGACGCUGAGGAGCGAAAGCAUGGGGAGCGAACAGG
rnacentral:rRNA from 1 species